rnacentral:lncRNA from 12 species
UUCAUGUGAAUAAUUCACAAUCCAAAAGUAAAGAAGAGCUCUUGAAAUUAAAAUGAUGGUAGAAAAAAGUCAACAGAGGAUUUUAAGACAAAAUCAAGGACUCUCUCAAGCAAGAAUAAGAAGAUAAAGAAUUUAAAAAUGGAAAAUACAAGAAAGAAAAUAAGAGAAUCAAUCCAGGAUAUUCAACAUCUGAACAACCUUCUUUCCCAAAAUACAAAUAGAGUUCUGGCUACCAUCUUAUUCCUUUUUUUUUCUUUCUUUCUUUCUUUCUUUUUUUUUUUCUUUCUUUCUUUCUUUUUUUUUUUUUUUUUUUUUAAAAAAUUUUUUUCAAUGCUAUAUGCUACAAAUAGACUCAGCAGAAGUGGUUCACAAUUUAGGAAGCUGAUUUUGAGUACGCUGACAUUUCCAACUGUUAUAUAUACUCUCCUCCCAGCUGCUGUAUUUGUGUUACCUCAGAAUUGUUGUCAAAAUUAA